CGGGGCUGUGAGCGUAGUAAUUCUUCUCGCUAUAGAGCCCCGGCGGAUGCUAGCCAGCAACCCCCAAUUUUCUAUGGUUGACCUCGGAUCAGGUAGGGAUACCCGCUGAACUUAAGCAUAUCAAUAAGCGGAGGAAAAGAAACCAACAGGGAUUGCCUCAGUAACGGCGAGUGAAGCGGCAACAGCUCAAAUUUGAAAUCUGGCUCUUUCAGGGUCCGAGUUGUAAUUUGUAGAAGAUGCUUCGGGUGUGGCUCCGGUCUAAGUUCCUUGGAACAGGACGUCAUAGAGGGUGAGAAUCCCGUAUGUGACUGGUUGCCUUCGCCCAUGUGAAGCUCUUUCGACGAGUCGAGUUGUUUGGGAAUGCAGCUCAAAAUGGGUGGUAAAUUUCAUCUAAAGCUAAAUAUUGGCCAGAGACCGAUAGCGCACAAGUAGAGUGAUCGAAAGAUGAAAAGCACUUUGGAAAGAGAGUUAAACAGUACGUGAAAUUGUUGAAAGGGAAGCGCUUGCAACCAGACUUGCGUGCGGUCGAUCAUCCGGUGUUCUCACCGGUGCACUCGAUCGUAUUCAGGCCAGCAUCGGUUUCGGUGGUUGGAUAAAGGCCUUGGGAAUGUAGCUUCUUUCGGGRAGUGUUAUAGCCCAAGGUGCAAUGCAGCCUACCGGGACCGAGGACCGCGCUUCGGCUAGGAUGCUGGCGAAAUGCCGGGUUU
rnacentral:rRNA from 1 species